AGGACGAACGCUGGCGGUGCGCCUAACACAUGCAAGUCGAACGGUGAACCGGGCUUCGGCCCGGGGAUCAGUGGCGAACGGGUGCGUAACACGUGGGCAACCUGCCCCCGACCCUGGGAUAACCCCGGGAAACCGGAGCUAAUACCGGAUACUCUCCUCCGACCACAUGGUCAGAAGAGGAAAGGUCCGCCGGUCGGGGAUGGGCCCGCGGCCUAUCAGCUUGUUGGUGGGGUAACGGCCUACCAAGGCGACGACGGGUAGCUGGUCUGAGAGGACGACCAGCCACACUGGGACUGAGACACGGCCCAGACUCCUACGGGAGGCAGCAGUGGGGAAUCUUGCGCAAUGGGCGAAAGCCUGACGCAGCGACACCGCGUGGGGGAUGAAGGCCUUUCAGGUCGUAAACCCUUUCGGCAGGGACGAAGCGAUCUCGUGACGGUACCUGCAGAAGAAGCCUCGGCUAACUACGUGCCAGCAGCCGC
rnacentral:rRNA from 1 species